UACGAAGGGGGCUAGCGUUGCUCGGAAUUACUGGGCGUAAAGGGCGCGUAGGCGGAUGUUUAAGUUGGGGGUGAAAGCCCGGGGCUCAACCUCGGAAUUGCCUUCAAUACUGGACAUCUUGAGUACGGGAGAGGUGAGUGGAACUCCGAGUGUAGAGGUGAAAUUCGUAGAUAUUCGGAAGAACACCAGUGGCGAAGGCGACUCACUGGCCCGUUACUGACGCUGAGGCGCGAAAGCGUGGGGAGCAAACAGG
rnacentral:rRNA from 2 species